CAGACAUACACCUACAGUAUAUCUGUAUUUAUAAUAAAUAAUUAUUAUUUAAAAAUUAUAUUAUUAUAGUAAUAAUUUCCUUCUAGGAACCUUCCUUUUUUCUUCUCCUCCUCUUAUAUAUUUCCUCUUCACAGUCUCUUCUCUAUUCACUUUUGAGCCAAAAAAAUCUCUCUUUCUUCCGUUGUAAAAUCACUAAAGAGAAAAACAAAAAGCUUUGCAAAAAUGGCCUCUUAUUUCAAAGUUAUGCUUUUCUUAGCCUUUUUUGCUGCUUCAUGUUUAGCUCAAUCUCCAGCUCCUGCACCUAAAAUUUCUCCGGCAGCAACACCUACUCCGGUGCCGUCUCCAGCAGUGUCUCCGCCGUCAGCAACCCCAUCUCAGGCACCUACAACUUCACCAACUCCAUCACCAUCUGCUUCUACAACUUCCCCAUCACCAGCUCCGGCCGGUGGUCUCGCCGGUUCUCCUCCUGCGCCUACUCCUGCCGGUGGACCCGGUGCUUCACCGGCGGAACAGCCCACCGCUGACAACACACCGCCACCAAACGCCGCUAACAAGGCCGUCAUUGGCGGUGCUGCAUUUGCUGGCGUACUCAUUGCUGCUGCUUUCAUGUAGAUUUGCUACGUGUCAUCACACGAGUCUUGACGGACCGAGAUUUGUUUUGUACCUUUGUUGGGGGUUAAGUAGUACUUAUCUCUUCUUUUUCUUUUCUUUUUUGUCUUUUGUAUUUACUUUAUAUUUUUGUCAUUUAUACUCCGGUGCCAGCUCCAGCAGUGUCUCCGCCGACAGCAACCCCAUCUCCGUCACCUACAACUUCACCAACUCCAUCUCCAUCUGCUUCUACAACUUCCCCAUCACCAGCUCCGGCCGGUGGUCUCGCCGGUUCUCCUCCCGCGCCUACUCCGGCCGGUGGACCCGGUGCUUCACCGGCGGAACAGCCCACCGCUGACAACACACCGCCACCAAACGCCGCUAACAAGGCCGUCAUUGGCGGUGCUGCAUUUGCUGGCGUACUCAUUGCUGCUGCUUUCAUGUAGAUUUGCUACGUGUCAUCACACGAGUCUUGACGGACCGAGAUUUGUUUUGUACCUUUGUUGGGGGUUAAGUAGUACUUAUCUCUUCUUUUUCUUUUCUUUUUUGUCUUUUGUAUUUACUUUAUAUUUUUGUCAUUUAUUUGUUUAGUACAUUGUGGUGUUUUUAUUUCUUUUUUUAUUUUUUUGUGAGGGCGAGUCAUUCAUAUUUGGUGGGUGAUGAUUCUUGUGUUUUAACAGGUUUAUUUAUUGUAUUGAAUCAUCAUCCCAUGUACAUUCAAGUAAAAAUAAAUUCGAAUUUGUAUUCUUUUUGUUAUAUAUUGAUUACCUAUUUCCAUCUCUAAAUGCUUAAAAUUUCUCUUGGUGAAUUAAUCUAAACCUAAAGUAUAAGGGUGAGUUAAUCCUAGAUCUUAUGAAAGAAUAUUAGUUUGGAUUAUAUAUUUCUAUACAAUUGCAUGUUGGGAGAAUUUAAAAGGACUAUGUUUUUGAGUAAUUUAAUCGAAUAUGUGAAAAGCUUAUGUAACUUUUUAUGUAGCAAGGUAUGCA
rnacentral:lncRNA from 1 species